rnacentral:rRNA from 1 species
GACGAACGCUGGCGGCGUGCCUAAUACAUGCAAGUCGAACGGAAAGGCCCUGAUUUUGCGGGGUGCUCGAGUGGCGAACGGGUGAGUAAAACGUGAGUAACCUGUCCUUGUCUUUGGGAUAACUUCAGGAAAAUGGGGCUAAUACCGGAUAGGAGAUCCUGCUGCAUGGUGGGGGUUGGAAAGUUUCGGCGGUUGGGGAUGGACUGGCGGCUUAUCAGCUUGUUAGUGAGGUAGUGGCUUACCAAGGCUUUGACGGGUAGCCGGCCUGAGAGGGUGACCGGCCACAAUGGGACUGAGGUACGGCCCAGACUGCUACGGGAGGCAGCAGUGGGAAAUAUUGCGCAAUGGGCGGAAGCCUGAUGCAGCAGCGCCGCGUGCGGGAAGACGUCCUUCGGGUUGUAAACCGCUUUCGCCUGUGACGAAGCGUGAGUGACGGUAAUGGGUAAAGAAGCACCGGCUAACUACGUG